UCCCUCGUGGUCUAGUGGUUAGGAUACCUAGUUCUCAUCCACGAUACCUGGGUUCGAUUCCCGGCGAGAGAA